rnacentral:rRNA from 1 species
UGAGGAAUAUUGGUCAAUGGGCGCAAGCCUGAACCAGCCAUCCCGCGUGCAGGAAGACGGCCCUAUGGGUUGUAAACUGCUUUUCCAGGGGGAGAAUUUUUCUGUCGUGACAGGAAUUGACGGUACCCUGGGAAUAAGCAUCGGCUAACUCCGUGCCAGCAGCCGCGGUAAUACGGAGGAUGCGAGCGUUAUCCGGAUUUAUUGGGUUUAAAGGGUGCGUAGGCGGAUAGGUAAGUCAGUGGUGAAAACCUGCAGCUUAACUGUAGACUUGCCGUUGAUACUGGCAGUCUUGAGUAUGGUCAAGGUAGGUGGAAUGUGUAAUGUAGCGGUGAAAUGCGUAGAUAUUACACAGAACACCGAUUGCGAAGGCAGCUUGCUGGGCCAUUACUGACGCUGAUGCACGAAAGCGUGGGGAGCGAACA